rnacentral:lncRNA from 1 species
GAUCAUAUGGUUGAAUGUUUAUGUAUAACACUAGUGCUUCAACAGUUUUCAGCAUGUCUUUUAUAUUGUAGCUUGAACUUAAAAGACUAGGAUUAAUAAUUGUUUGGAGGUUCGAGGGGUUUGUUUGGACAUUUUCUGAAUCAUCUGAAGAUCCAUCUCGAUGCCAAAUGGGGCACCAAUGUCCGAUAGAGCAUACAUAAAAAAAUAUAUACAUAGCAGCAGAACUAUUCAUCCCAAUACAACAUACAAAAACUAUACUUUGAGACAUGAGAUCAUCUAUGCUUAUAUACAUAUCAAAAACGAUAACCUAUACAAAAUAUACUUGCCUAAAAAGUGUUUUAACCAAAUAUAUAGGUCCACUCCCACAACUAAACUUCCUUAAAGAGAACUAGGCAAAUGUCCUCAACAAUUCAUCAAAAUCUUCAUCUGUAAGGUGUUGGAAUUGGGUGAGCUCUAAUACUCAAUAAGAUAGGCAAUAUUAUAGGCAUACAAACAUGAUUUGAAAAUAUUUCCUUAAUGCAUAUUUAAAGAAAACAGUGAUAAAAGCAAUAAUCGAGAAACAAUGAUAACAUACUACUCAAUUGGCAUAUUCAAUGUGUUCACAUAAUUCAUUCACAUACAUCCAAGACUAGACCCAUCUAAUGACUCAGUUUUAAUACCAAAUUAUUAUUUUAAUUUUAAUUUUACUGUUUACAAAUCUACGCAUGCAGCCUCUUACACUACUUCUGUGGAGGGCACAGGUCACCAACUAGGUAAGGUUGGAAGCGCAAUCAAUUAGUAAAAAUAAAAAUGUAAAUAAAUACAUACAAAUCACUUACUCUCUACCUUACGUCAAUCAGUUAUCAUCUCAGUCACCAUCAACCACAUAUUAGAGCUCCAAGACAUGUAUGCAAUCAAUUCAUGGUCAUUGACCACUAAAAUUGGUUCCAUAAAUGGAACCCAAUAUCACACCUAAAGUCUAAUGGUUUUCCUAUUAUCCUCAAUAUCCCUCCAAGAAAACCAAUGCAUCAGAUUUAACUAAACAUUGUGUUAUUUGUAUUUUAGACUCUUAUUAAUUUCUUCCUCAAUUUAAUAUAUUAUUUCAUCCUAUCUAUUUUAGUGACAUGUAAAAUUAUGAUUAUUAUUUAAUUACUUGAGUUAUUAUUUAGUUUAUUUGUUAGACUUUUACUAGUUCAUC